UACGGGGGGAGCAAGCGUUGUUCGGAUUUACUGGGCGUAAAGGGCGGGUAGGCGGCCACCGCAAGUCAGUUGUGAAAUCUCUGGGCUUAACCCAGAAAGGUCAACUGAUACUGCGGGGCUAGAGUGCAGAAGGGGCAACUGGAAUUCUCGGUGUAGCGGUGAAAUGCGUAGAUAUCAGGAAGAACACCGGUGGCGAAAGCGCUCUGCUAGGCCGCAACUGACACUGAGGGACGAAAGCUAGGGGAGCGAAUGGG
rnacentral:rRNA from 1 species